GGGAAGAAAGAGAGAGAGAUAACUCUCUGAUAGAUGGCAGUGAAGGACCAGGAUGAGAAGACGAGGGGGCAGUAGAGAAUCAGCAUCCACUAGUAAGAUAGCCAAUAUGCAAACCAAAGCGCACUACCUGCCUGAAUUGAGAUAAAGAGAGUGCAGCUUUGUCUUUCUCUGAGGCCAGUAAAUUGGGAGGGACAGUGGCAUCACUAACUAAAUCCUUCCAGUUUCCUACUUCCAUGCACUGUUUCCCGCAACACUCAGAGCUGGAAACACCUUCAUCGUGCCCCUCGCCAGUAUGGACUCCAGGCUCCUCUGCUGUGUGGCCCUCUGUCUCCUGGGAACAGGUUCUCUGGAUUCUGGUGUUACCCAGACCCCAAGAAAUGGGAUCAUAAAGACAGGAAAGAACAUUGUACUGGAAUGUACUCAGACUAAGGGUCAUGAUGCAAUGUACUGGUAUCGACAAGACCCAGGGCUUGGGUUACGACUCAUCUACUACUCACUGGAUGUCAAGGACAUUAACAAAGGAGAAGUCUCUGAUGGGUACAGCGUCUCUCGAGAGGAACAGCCUAAAUUCUCCCUGUCCGUAGAGACAGCCAUCCCCAACCAGACAGCUCUUUACUUCUGUGCCAGCAGUUAUUUGCACAGUGCUGCUUGGCCACCUGCUCUCCACACAGAAAGCACAAAAGGAGCUAUUUCCUUAGAAGGGUCAGAAGCCUUUCCCAUACUCCCCUGCACGUGGGCUCCUUAGAGCUCUGUGUGGUCCUAGGCAGUGUAAGCCUCAGUCUGAGCUGAGAGCCACCUGGGGUUAAUGUCCCCAGGCUAUGUGAUGACCCUGAAAUCAUAGUUGAGACUAAAUAUAAUUCUCUUGUCUACUGACUCUCUUUAUCUAUUCUAAUGAAGCUAGCUCAAUAGACCUCUCAGGAGAAUGAAUCUGAGCACUGGACGACCCCAUUAUGAUUUGCAACUGGAGUGUUUCUCAUUAACUCAAAUAUAAUGUGGUUUUCAAGGGUUCUUUUGCUGAUGUCUCCACCCACUUUGCAACAUCCCCUGCUCCAUUUUGUUCCAAUCGGAAGCCCUUUGUCCUGACUGCCCUUUCUCCGUCCAAGUUCCUCCAUGUUCAAUUCUGCUGUUCAGCUCUAUACUUGGUUGCCUUUAUAGUGAGAAUAAACUGA